UACGGGGGGGCAAGCGUUGUUCGGAAUUACUGGGCGUAAAGGGCUCGUAGGCGGCCAACUAAGUCAGACGUGAAAUCCCUCGGCUUAACCGGGGAACUGCGUCUGAUACUGGAUGGCUUGAAUCCGGGAGAGGGAUGCGGAAUUCCAGGUGUAGCGGUGAAAUGCGUAGAUAUCUGGAGGAACACCGGUGGCGAAGGCGACAUCCUGGACCGGUAUUGACGCUGAGGCGCGAAAGCCAGGGAGCGAACGGG
rnacentral:rRNA from 1 species